rnacentral:rRNA from 1 species
UACGUAGGGGGCUAGCGUUGUCCGGAUUUAUUGGGCGUAAAGAGCGUGUAGGCGGCCAGGUAGGUCUGGUGUGAAAACUCGAGGCUUAACCUCGAGAUGUCAUCGGAAACCAUCUGGCUAGAGUCCGGAAGAGGAGAGUGGAAUUCCGGGUGUAGCGGUGGAAUGCGUAGAGAUCCGGAAGAACACCCGUGGCGAAGGCGGCUCUCUGGGACGGUACUGACGCUGAGACGCGAAAGCGUGGGGAGCGAACAGG